AUACCGAUUCAUUCCGAUGAUACC
rnacentral:siRNA from 1 species